CCUACGGGAGGCUGCAGUGGGGAAUAUUGCACAAUGGGGGAAACCCUGAUGCCGCGACGCCGCGUGAGUGAAGAAGUAUUUCGGUAUGUAAAGCUCUAUCAGCAGGGAAGAAAAUGACGGUACCUGAUUCAGCAGCACAGGCUAACUACGUGCCCGCAGCCGCGGUAUUACGUAGGGGGCAAGCGGUAUCCGGGUUUACUGGGUGUUAAGGGAGCGUAGACGGCAGCACAAGUCUGGAGUGAAAGGCCGGGGCUUAACCCCGGAACUGCUUUGGAAACUGUGCAGCUAGAGUUCAGGAGAGGUAAGUGGAAGUCCUAGUGUAGCGGUGAAAUGCGUAGAUAUUAGGAGGAACACCAGUGGCGAAGGCGGCUUACUGGACUGUAACUGACGUUGAGGCUCGAAAGCGUGGGGAGCAAACAGGAUUAGAUACCCUUGUAGUC
rnacentral:rRNA from 1 species